AAAUAUUAUAGGUUCUUAAAGAAAGAUUAAUAGGGAAAGAGGUUAAAGUCCUCUGCAGCCCCCGCUACUGUAAAGCUGACGAAACUUAAACUUAAGCCACUGUGAUUAUCAUGGGAAGGCUAAGGAGUAGGAUGAUGCUAAGCCAGGAGACCUGCCUAAUAAUAUU
rnacentral:ncRNA from 1 species